UACGGAGGGUCCAAGCGUUGUCCGGAAUCACUGGGCGUAAAGGGUGCGUAGGCGGGUCUUUAAGUCAGAGGUGAAAUCCUGGAGCUCAACUCCAGAACUGCCUUUGAUACUGAGGAUCUUGAGUUCGGGAGAGGUGAGUGGAACUGCGAGUGUAGAGGUGAAAUUCGUAGAUAUUCGCAAGAACACCAGUGGCGAAGGCGGCUCACUGGCCCGAUACUGACGCUGAGGCACGAAAGCGUGGGGAGCAAACAGG
rnacentral:rRNA from 1 species